rnacentral:lncRNA from 1 species
GGAUGCGCUAAUGGACGACACGGAUGACAAGGAAAGUGACAUCGUACAUGUUCUGGGUGUCUUGAGGAGCUUGUCUUUGGAUGAUGCUGAGCAGGUCUUUCUUUCUGUGAAGUAAAAGAAUUUAACAGACAGAUUGACAAACAACUGACGAAAGAAGAGAGACCAUUCUAUAGGUGGUCCCUUUAUUUAUCAGGGGUUGCCACAGCAGAAUGAACCGCCAACUUAUGCAGCAUAUGUUUUACACAGUGGAUACCCUUCCAGCCGCAACCCAGUACUGGGAAACACCCAUUUACAAUUAUAUACUUGAACAUGGGGAGAACAUGCAAACUCCACACAGAAAUGACCACUGGCCCAGCCGGGGCUUGAACCAGCAACCUUCUUGCUGUGAGGCGACGGUUUCAACCACUGUGCUGCCCCAUGUGCUCUAUGCGGAGGCCUCUAGAGAUCGUGACCUGUGAAGAGAUGAUGCCACCAUAGAGGACUUCUAGAUGUAUCCAUAAUCCUGGACCAGACCGUAUCAUGAUCAGAUGCAGUGGUGGUCAUGGAGAAGUGGAGAGCAUGAUACUGAUUAAUGAAAGACCCCAGCGACAGAUGAGUGCCCACAUUGAUCCUGUGGUCCAGCCUGAAAACCCGCUGGUGCCCUACUCACACCUGCAGCUUCUCCACGAUGGACGCCCA